CUGUUGCCUGUUUCUUUAAUUCAGCCAAUGUAAUGAACCACUAAGUCUCUAUGAAGAUCAGCUGGCAUGUCUGAUUUAUUUUACGGUUUCAAAUCCACCAGAGACCGGCAUCAGCACCACAGCUCCUGCUAACUGUUGUGGGGUUUUCCUGCAGGUAUGUGAGUGUCAGGGGUGUGGCUGGCUUCUUCACCAGCAGACGAGGCACACCUGGCUCCACUUGACUAAUCAUCCUGUCCAUAAAAGUCUGGUCACUUCACUCCACUACUCUGCCAGAUAGUUCCAUCUUGUUCGGUACUCCAGUGUGCCUCACUGCUUCGACUGAACCUUGUCUGUGUUCCCUGCGUUGCCGUCAGGAUCACCUUACCUGGCCAGCCAGCUCCCUGCCUUCACUGCCUGUUUUGUUUUUUUGAGAAAUAAAUGGUUUAUUUCUACAUUGUUACCUGCUUCAGCCUGUUUUGGGGUUUUCUUUGAACUGAAACCUAACAACAAAAUCAGUAAAAGUUGAUUGUAGAAGCAAGGUGAUGCAAUGACUGAUAAUACAAACCUCCAAAAAACAGAGAAAAAACACAUUAUAGUUCCCGGCAUCAUACAUUAUGAGUGAUCCUACUACAAAUAAGUCAUGUCAGCAAAUGUUGUUUAUUUAAUACAUUGUUGGAUCUGUGUUUCUUCAAUGAAAUCUCUGUUAUGCCACUUUGAAAUUGUUGUUAAUAUUUUUGUGAUUAUGAGAUGAGUCUGGUGAACAAUGAAACUGGUCUCACCAUCAUCUUCAAUAACACAUUCAUGUUACCCUCAGGAGGACUGUGGUAAUUUUGGGAGCUUUUUAUGUUUACAUGUUUAAUGAUUUCAAUGAUUUAAAUAAAAAACAUUUUCUUGAA